rnacentral:rRNA from 1 species
CCUACGGGUGGCUGCAGUCGAGAAUCUUCCACAAUGGACGAAAGUCUGAUGGAGCGACGCCGCGUGAUGGAUGAAGUGGUUCGCCAUGUAAACAUCUUUUGUAAGCAAGAUCAGCUUACGAAUAAGGAGUUGCUAAACUCGUGCCAGCAGCAGCGGUAAUACGAGUGCUCCAAGCGUUAUCCGGAAUUAUUGGGCGUAAAGGGUGUGUAGGUGGUUAUGUUAGUCUUUUGUUAAAUUCUUCGGCUUAACCGGGGGCAUGCAAAGGAAACGGCACAACUAGAGGAUGCGAGAGGUGAACGGAACUCAUGGAGUAGGGGUGAAAUCCGUUGAUAUCAUGGGGAACACCAAAUGCGAAGGCAGUUCACUGGCGCACCCUGACACUGAGACACGAAAGCGUAGGUAGCGAAUGGGAUUAGAUACCCCAGUAGUC